UACGUAGGGAGCAAGCGUUGUCCGGAAUCAUUGGGCGUAAAGCGCGCGUAGGUGGCCUCAUAAGUCCGCUGUGAAAGUCAAAGGCUCAACCUUUGAAAGCCGGUGGAUACUGUGAGGCUAGAGUACGGAAGAGGCGAGUGGAAUUCCUGGUGUAGCGGUGAAAUGCGCAGAUAUCAGGAAGAACACCCGUGGCGAAGGCGGCUCUCUGGUACGGAACUGACGCUGAGACGCGAAAGCGUGGGGAGCGAACAGG
rnacentral:rRNA from 1 species